UACGGAGGGUGCAAGCGUUAAUCGGAAUUACUGGGCGUAAAGCGCACGCAGGUGGCUGAGUCAGUCGAUUGUGAAAGCCCUGGGCUUAACCUGGGAAUUGCAGUCGAUACUACUCAGCUAGAGUAUGGGAGAGGGCAGUGGAAUUCCCGGUGUAGCGGUGAAAUGCGUAGAGAUGUGGAGGAACACCAGUGGCGAAGGCGACUCUUUGGUCUGUAACUGACGCUGAGGCGCGAAAGCGUGGGGAGCAAACAGG
rnacentral:rRNA from 1 species